rnacentral:lncRNA from 1 species
UUGUGCUAAAAUUCCAGAGAGCUCCUCCUUAAAUGCGAAAACAUGACCCAGGAGCAUGGAUUCAUUAAUUCGUUGUACUUUCAUGAGGAACACUGCACGGAGGAAUGAAAAUGCCACCUGGGUGCCAGAGAAGAAUUUUUUUCAGGCGCUAUGGUCCUCAUAAUUGUUAGGAUAAGAUACUCCUUGCAAGUUAAAACUCACACUAACUCUUCUACAUAUAGCAGAAAAACUUUCUGGAAGAUGUUUGAUCAUUUCGUGGAUGUGUUUGUGUUUUUCAACUCUAAGUGAGGAACUGAUCAAGGUGACACGGGAUCAUCUUGGGAGAAUGCACAAGGUUUAGUUUCCUGAAGCAGAUGUUAGUACCGCCUUUUUGUAGAGAAAGAUGAGAAACAAAAUAUGCUAUAUAUUUGCCAACACAGGAGCCUGACUUUAAUGUCAAUGAAAUUGCCUCUACUCGUUCCCUACUUUGGUGGUCUAAAUUCAGCUCAGAUCACAUUGUUCUCAGUUACCCUGUAUCCCCUGGGUAAGAAUGGCCACAGAGAAAAUGUUAGAGGGCCUUUGACCUUCGCUAGGUUUGAAGUUCUUCCUUUCUUCUCUGGGGAGCAUGUCAUACUAGAAGAGUAAUCCAGAAACCAUGACUGAUGCUUUCACUGCAUAGAGUGCUGUUUGGAGAUGUCCCUGUGGCCUUGAGGUAGAAGUGGCUGGGUUCCUAGGGGACUCUCUGAAUAUCUAAUAUGUUCUGAUUGUGCUACUUUUCCCAAGAAAGAUAACUACUAACUCCUGUUUUCCCCAGGGUAUUCUGAUUUUCCACACAGAACUAGACUCCUCUCCUAUAAAUGCUCAUCUUGUCUGCUCCUUUGUCCUCUGCCAUCACUUCUUCUGAACCUGACACCAGCUGUGUGCCAUCUAUUAACCUGUCAUAUUCAUUGAUCUCCCUAAGAAAUCAAACUGUCCCUCUAAUUCCCCUGUCUGAUCUUUGCUUGCCAGAGUAUACUGACAAAAUUGUACCCUAGCAAAAGAAAAGCAUAGUCUAUUCGUUUCAGCCAUAAUAGCCUCAAAUGCUAUGUAGUCAAUACAUUAUUUUCUGUAGGUUUUAAACUUUAUGGCCUUAUUGAAAAUGAAAACUGUUUGCAGAUAACUCUGAUUUGCUCUCCAAAGGCUGCAUGAAAAUACAGCUAAAAUAAACACAUGGACUAAGAAAGCUGAUAAAGAGAAGUAUAAAAUCCUUCCAUUGGCAUUUUCAUUUUUCAACCAAAAGGAGUGUACUUUAUAACUUGUAAUUGAAAUUCCAACCGAUUUCUAAUUUUUCUCCCCUCUUAUUUAUUGGAGAAUAAAGAUGAAGGAUGAUAAAAUUUCCAGUGUAGCUUAAUAUGCUUACAGUGAAGAUCUGGUCAUUCCCUUUUUUAAAAAUGUAAGAAUAUUAGGAAAUUCUCCAUUCCUCAGUGAAACUGUUCUUCAACUUAAUGUUAUAUGAGUGUAGGAAUUUGUUAUCAAAACUGAGCCUCAAUUUUAGAAGUAGUCCACACUGAGUAAUUUGCCAUUUAUUUUUUCAUCUAUAAAACUUUUCAGUAGUAGAAGCUAACAAUGUGCUAGGAGUUUACUUUUGUCAAUAUUCAACCAAGAUGAAAUGUUAUUCUAGCAAUCUCAAGCAUAGAGAAUUCAUUUUAGGGAAUUAGUUAAAAAUGUAUUGCCAGGGCCAAAGUAUAAAAGAGAAAAGCAAGUGGUUAUUCAAAAUCAGAAGCUGCUACCUCCCUUGGGCUGAAGGCGGGGAAAAAUGUUAAUGGAAGAUGGCCUUGUCUUCCAGAAGCCUCUUCUGGGGAUGGUACUGAAACUGCCCCUGGAGGUGCAGGGCAUGGAGACAAAUGUGAAUCUCCCCACUAAUUUUAGGUGGCCACUCCCUGUGCCUGGGUGUUUUUCCAUCUGUCAACUGCCUUGACCCUUGCCUAGUUAACUUUUCUAUUUGUAAAAGAAAUCAUUUUGCUUUUAACAUGUAGUAGAAGAUCGCUGUAGUGGAAAGUAUCCAACUUUAUUAUUUGCUUUUCUGCCCUUCUACAAAAUCUAUUAGUGCAUGUGUUGUAGUAUAUUUCAGUUUUUUGCACACCUGUUAGUCUACUGUGCUAAGGUGAGUUCUUUCCAGGGUGUGAUCUUCCAUUAUGCUGUAUAUUCUCUUGACUAGCACUGAACCUAUUAAUCCCAACUAAUAUUUGUUGAAUUUAUUUAAAUUGCUUUGAUUUCAAAUAUACAAAGGCACAAAACUGUGGUAUAUUUUGAAGGGUGGAAUGUGCUUGAUGAAGAAUUGAAACUUUAUUUUUCAGGUGUUGUUGAACCACUGAUACUUUGGAAGACUGGCAGCGCCAUGGUAUAAUUUAGUGAGUCUGAGCUGGAAAAGUUAGAGAAAGAUAGUGUAGAGUGCAUCUCCAUGCCUGCAGCAGACAAUAGGAGUUGAGCGUGUUGAUUUUAGCCUGACUUUUAGGAACCUCUGUUCUUUUCUCAUUUGGGACAUGGGAGUGUUAUUUUAUCUUACUGGAUUGUGGAGGUGGGGCUUUUUUGAGAUUAAAAAAUUAUUCUUUUUAGAACUUUCAAAGUAUCUGGCUGACAGGCUGGCUGAGGUUUUAUAAUCAACCAUUUCUAAUCAUGAAAUGUUCUAAUUAUAAAAGUAAUGUAGUCAGACAUUCAAAAUUAUGCUUCCAUUCACUUUGCCAAGUACCUUUCCAAAACCUUUUUGCUCCUGCACCCUACUUUUUCAAAAUUAUCUUUUUUACAACACAGAAAACUAGGAAAGUUUAACUUCAGAAAUGACAUAACUUAGAACAAACUUAAUGGUACAAAUGCAAGGGGUCUAAGAGAAAUCACAAUGCAGUGCUUCUGCCUCUCAAACCUAAACUCCAGCUUGCUUCCAGGCGACUCUCCCAGACAACAGAGCGAGAUGCCCAUUUGGCUGACAGUAAAAGGACAGCGAUAUCCCAGUAAUUCUUCCUGAUGUGAGAAAUGGGCUUUUUGUUCCUUCUGUGAAGCUUCAUUCUUGCCACAGAAGGAAAUAUGAUCUGGGCCGUUGGAUAUCAAACCAGGUCUCACAGAUGCUUGGGGCUGAAAGGUCUCCCAAGGUGCAGAAGAGAGAGACAGAAUAGGUGAGCUCUAUUUGCUUUAGCCCACUUAUCUUGCGCCUCAGCAGAUUCAUUCUCAUCCUUUAAGCAUAUUUCAAAAUAUAGAGCUUAAUUUUGAAUACAGAAUUUCAUUUGCAAAAGGAUUUUGCUGUAAAUAUUGCACAAAAC